GCUCAAGAUGAACGCGGCGGUAUGCUUAACACAUGCAAGUCGAACGGUAACAUAGCUAGCUUGCUAGCUGAUGACGAGUGGCGGACGGGGGAGUAACGCGUAGGAAUUUACCUAUUGGCGGGGGGUAAACCACUGGAAACGGUGGCUAAUACCGCAUAAUGCCCUAUGGGGGAAAGCGGGGGAUCUUCGGACCUCGCGCUAUUUGAUGAGCCUGCGUAAGAUUAGCUAGUUGGUGAGGUAAAGGCUCACCAAGGCGACGAUCUUUAGCUGGUCUGAGAGGAUGAUCAGCCACACUGGAACUGAGACACGGUCCAGACUCCUACGGGAGGCAGCAGUGGGGAAUAUUGGACAAUGGGGGCAACCCUGAUCCAGCCAUGCCGCGUGUGUGAAGAAGGCCUUAGGGUUGUAAAGCACUUUCAGUAGGGAGGAAAAGUUAGUCGUUAAUAUCGGCUAACCCUGACGUUACCUACAGAAGAAGCACCGGCAAACUCCGUGCCAGCAGCCGCGGUAAUACGGAGGGUGCGAGCGUUAAUCGGAAUUACUGGGCGUAAAGCGUUCGUAGGCGGUCUAUUAAGCAAGAUGUGAAAGCCCAGGGCUCAACCUUGGAACUGCAUUUUGAACUGGUAGACUAGAGUACUGUAGAGGGUGGUGGAAUUUCCAGUGUAGCGGUGAAAUGCGUAGAGAUUGGAAGGAACAUCAGUGGCGAAGGCGGCCACCUGGACAGAUACUGACGCUGAGGAACGAAAGCGUGGGGAGCGAACAGGAUUAGAUACCCUGGUAGUCCACGCCGUAAACGAUGUCAACUAGCCGUUUUGUGGACUUGAUCCGUGAGUGGCGCAGCUAACGCACUAAGUUGACCGACUGAGGAGUACGGCCGCAAGGUUAAAACUCAAAUGAAUUGACGGGGGCCCGCACAAGCGGUGGAGCAUGUGGUUUAAUUCGAUGCAACGCGAAGAACCUUACCAUCCCUUGACAUCCAGAGAAGCGACUAGAGAUAGACAAGUGCCUUCGGGAACUGAGAGACAGGUGCUGCACGGCUGUCGUCAGCUCGUGUCGUGAGAUGUUGGGUUAAGUCCCGCAACGAGCGCAACCCCUAUCCUUAUUUGCCAGCACGUUAUGGUGGGAACUCUAAGGAGACUGCCGGUGAUAAGCCGGAGGAAGGUGGGGACGACGUCAAGUCAUCAUGGCCCUUACGGGAUGGGCUACACACGUGCUACAAUGGUGCAUACAGAGGGUUGCCAACCAGCGAUGGGGAGCCAAUCCCAGAAAGUGCAUCUUAGUCCGGAUCGCAGUCUGCAACUCGACUGCGUGAAGUUGGAAUCGCUAGUAAUCGCGAAUCAGCAUGUCGCGGUGAAUACGUUCCCGGGCCUUGUACACACCGCCCGUCACACCAUGGGAGUGGGUUGCACCAGAAGUAGCUAGACUAACCUUCGGGAGGUCGGUUACCACGGUGUGGUUCAUGAC
rnacentral:rRNA from 1 species